rnacentral:lncRNA from 1 species
GGCUCCACGGAGGUGGCAGAGCCGGGGAAGCCCACUCCUUCGGAUUUAGCAGAGCUUCAAGAACCAGCUCUCCAUGGUCCCAAUACACAGCUGACAGCAUGACCCUGGCAGAAUUCUUCAUCUGCCGCUUCAUCAGAAAACUGGGAAUGAAGCAACUCCUCCUUCCAAGUCCACUAUGACGGUUACAUGCAUAAACACGUGCAGAAGAAUGGAAUCCUCCAGCGCACUUCCCUGGACAAGCUGAGGCUCACAGGUGAUAGAAGCAGAAAUUGCAUAGCUCACCACUGACAGGACUCAAGAAGACCAGGGGAAUGAUAAAGGAAGCGUUCACUGCAUGUGAUCUGUCAACUGGUUGAAAGUGAGGUCACUGUUGUCACUAAGAUGCCUGUAGGGCAGCCCAUGAUCCAAGCUGGCAAAAGAAAAUCAGCAAAAGGACAAUCAACAUUAAUGGCUUGAGAGUCGUUUUCUUUUUUGUGUGGUUCCAGAAGUUGGGUGUCGUUUUCAUGGUUUUCUGGAGUCACAUGGCUUAACCUCUGAGGCAUGUGCUGGCCUGUUUGCCCUGGUUCCCAUCCACAGAAGAGUGAGGGGACUCAAGGACCAACCUACACAUGGGUCGCAACAAUCUGUGAUUCAAUGCUACAUAAUGCAAUGCCCUCUUCUGAUCUCCUGAGGAACCAAGCAUGUGUGUGGUAUGGUGUAUGUCUAUCUCUGUGUGUCUCUGUGUGUAUCU